CGUUGGUCCGAAGGUAACGAGUUAUCUCAGCUGAUUGGUAACAGACAGUUACAGAUUGAACUCUUUGUUCUACUCUUUCCCUUCUUCUCACUACUAUACUUGACUAUUCUUAA
rnacentral:Y_RNA from 1 species